rnacentral:lncRNA from 1 species
AACCAACUAACAAAUGUUGUUUUGUUGAGUAGUUCAUUGUAAUCCUACAAUGUGAUUUGCCUAAAAGCAAAUGAACUAGAGAUAGAACUCAAAGAAUGGGUUCUUUGAGAGACAAGAAAGUAAUCAACAAAUAUAACAACCUAGUUCCUAUACCUCAAGCUCCAAGGUAGUCGAUAAGGAUUUAUAAACCGUCUCAGUUGAAUGGUUUUGAACUUUAUGACUAUGUCAUAGAGUUGCACCUUUUAAUUCGAAAGAACUAAGAAUGAAAAUCCUUAUGACUACAUUCAGUGUAUAUAUAUGAUAUAUACUCAAGAAAAUGGUAAAGUACCAUUUGACUCGAAAUAAUGAAACCUUAAUAGCUAAUUGGUAGCUUAAGGUGACUACAAUCAAAGAGAAUGGUUGACUUUGAAGGAACCAUUUUUGACGUAGUCUUAGUUUCAAUUAAUUCGAAGAAUGCUAGCUACAACUAAAUGGUGAUUCAAUGUUUGGACAUAAUAUAGGUUUCCGAAACCAUUAUUAAGAUAGUCUUGAUAAUAUAUGUCUAAAACUAUGAAUCACAAGACAUGUAAGUUGUAGAGAUCCAUCCAUCAUGGAUCUUGGCAAGCUAGUGGGAGCUAUAAGCGUCUUAUGAGAGAAAGGUCAAAUCGUUUGAUUUCUCAUAAAGAUGUAAAUGAAUCUUUUGUUUACUAGGUUUACAAAAGAUUAGUGGGAGUUAACCAUAUUCCUAAAUUUGUAUAUAUAUAUGUGAUAUAUAUGAAUAUAUAUGUGAUAUAUAUGAAUAUAUAUAUGAUGUAUUAAUUUUGGAAAUGAAAAGAAUACUUCUUCGUUAAAGUUAUGACUUUAAACGUUCUAUAAAGAUAGAAUAUAUAUGGGAGACAUAGUCCAUAUACAUGGGAUGGAAAUCUAUAAUGAUAUAUUUCAUGAUAUAAUUGGAUUAUAUCAAUCCCUGAUAAUAGACAAUGGAUGCAAGGAAGUUUCUCAUAUGAUGAUAAACUUCAAUUAGAAGGACAACUCUAGUGAGACUAAGAAGUUGCUCUUCUC